UACGGGGGGGAGCAAACUUGUCCGGAAUCAUUGGGCGUAAAGAGCGUGUAGGCGGCCACUUAAGUCCUGCGUGAAAUCUUGCGGCUCAACCGCAAGCGGUCGUGGGAAACUGGGUGGCUAGAGUGCGGGAGAGGAGAGUGGAAUUCCUGGUGUAGCGGUGAAAUGCGCAGAUAUCAGGAGGAACACCGAUGGCGAAGGCAGGUCUCUGGGCCGAUACUGACGCUGAUGCGCGAAAGCUAGGGGAGCAAACAGG
rnacentral:rRNA from 1 species